rnacentral:lncRNA from 1 species
UGCCAUUUGGAUUUCAUUGCCCCCCUGGCGCACCCCCUAGACGGGGAACUGGGGGUGCUCCAUCAGGAACAUUUUACUCUUUUACAGAUCAUUUCCUGCAUUCUACGUGUCUUGACAUGGCUUAGGCCUGUGACUAGGGUGGACAAUAAAACCCACAGGUCAGGUGAUUUAGGUUCAGGUUUAGGUUCAGGUUUAAACAUUACAUGGACACUCACCAUUUGAUGACUGAGAGUUUUUUUUUGGGGGGGGGGGCAUUUAAAGUAUGCUAAUAUUUUGUAAAUAUAUUUUUUAGUUGGUUGUCACUUUGCUCAGACAGUGGGAAGGUUGUAAGCAGGAUCCCUGUUCUCUAGAAACAGUGGAAGGUUGUAAGCAGGAUCCCUGUUCUCUAGAAACAGUGGAAGGUUGGACGCAGGAUCCCUGUUCUCUAGAAACAGUGGGAAGGUUGGAAGCAGGAUCCCUGUUCUCUAGAAACUGUGGGAAGGUUGGAAGCAGGGAUCCCUGUUCUCUAGAAACAGUGGAAAGAUUGGAAGCAGGGAUCCCUGUUCUCUAGAAACAGUGGGAAGGUUGGAAGCAGGAUCCAUGUUCUCUAGAAACGUGGAAAGGUUGGAAGCAGGGAUCCCUGUUCUCUAGAACAGUGGGAAGGUUGGAAGCAGGAUCCCUGUUCUCUAGAACAGUGGAAGGUUGGAAGCAGGAUCCUGUUCUCUAGAACAGUGGGAAGGUUGGAAGCAGGGAUCCCUGUUUCUCUAAAACUGGGAAGGUUGGAAGCAGGGAUCCCUGUUCUCUAGAAACAGUGGAAGAUUGGAAGCAGGGAUCCCUGUUCUCUAGAACAGUGGGAAGU